CUGGGGCACCCGACAGACAGUCUCUGCUCUGAGGAAGCUUACAGUCCUUUAGAUGCGAGGCAGACAUUAAACAAGUAAAUGCAUUGUUGCACGCUGCCAUAAAUGUGGAGGCAAAGAACAAUGUUCUAGGAGAGAGAGAAUAACAGGGAAGAGCUUUUCUGAAGGGCACUGGGGCCUGAGAAGUGUAUUUAAACAGGGACCAUGCACCAUCUGAUUCACGUGUGAAAGCUCUCCAUAACCACUGUAGUGGAAUGGUUCCUCUGAGUUGGGGUGUCGAGUUGUGUGCCAGGCCCAGGAACAGCAGGCUACCUGGAAUUCCAGAGUCAAAGAGAGUCUGGCAGUGUUCCUGUCACCUAAUGCCUACCUGCUACCCUGCCUGGCACUGCCCUGGGAGCACCCAUUACUUUCCUUUCCCCACCCCCAUGCUUCCAGGGUAGAUUGACAGCAGCACGUUCCAGUCACCCUCAGAGCCUACAAGGUCUCUGCCCUCCCAGAUAUGAACUUCUAUUUAAAAUCAUUGAUUUAAUCAUCCUUUCUAUCUUAAGGGGUGGUGUGGGGAAGGAAAGUAAUUUCAUUAGCGGUGAUUUGAAGGGAAUCUUAACCACCAUGUGACCUGUGAUUGUCCCUUGUGAACAACCAGAGGACCUGUGAUAACACUGAAUGUGACAUUUCUUUGAACUGCCUCCUUGCAUCCUGAAACCUCAAUAAAAGGUGCUUUAGGGGAUGUGGAUCCCCUAAUUUACUAAGUAAAUGUAAGGGUGGACCUGUGCUGGCCAGGUGCUCAGGGGGCGUGAUUAAUUUAGCAUUCUAGCAGUAAGCUCUGUUCACUGGCUUUUCCUUCAUUUCAGGGAAAUACCGAGCAGCAGAUGAAGAAAAAAUUAGUCCACCUCCCUACCUAACUUGUGAGAGUUUCCCUCAUGCCGUGGACCACAUUCUGCAGCAUCUCCUGUGAACCCUCCUGUGAAUGUGAAGCAACUUGACACACAGCUUUCAUUGUCUGGAAUGGAUCCCUUACCAACUUGGUGCAGCAUCAGUAGCCACGAACCAUUCAGAGCUGAUUAUGCUUUAACCCUCUUUUAUUGUGCAUUAAUUAGAAAGAAAGGUAUUGAAUUGCAUCCAGCUACUAAGCCUUGCUAAUCUCUUUUGUUUUAUUUUGUAAAAGAAGAUGAGACCCUAAGAAAAGAAAAGCUGAGAUUUUAUGCCAUUCCCUCUAAAAUAUUCAUCAGGUUCGCAGGGCUGGGAGAGAGAAGCUCCAAUGGGGAAUGGUGUUCUCUGCUGUCUCCUGCUGGAAAUCGGGAGGGAGAUUCAGACUGUGAAUAAAGUUGAAUGGUGGUUUGUAAAUUAUAAAGUGAUGCGUUGAAAGGUGCAUUAGCCUCAUGUUUUGAAAUUGAGUUCAACUGUGAGACCUAGCCGAAGAGCCAAGUGGAGUAUAAGACAGAGGCAGCAAAGUGAAUUGUCCUUCAGACUGUCGAGUGAAUUUACUUUAACAGAUGUUGAAAACUAGAUUUUCUGUUGAAUUCCCAGCACGGGUGACUUCCUUUCUCUUCAUUAGCCAGAGAUGACUAAUUUAAAUUUAGAACCUGAUUUUAAUUUAAAAUAAUAUUUCCAUUAAUAACCUAUUCAUUGCAGAUACCUAUUAUACUGUGUAACAGUUGUUUUGGAAAUUUUAUGUAAAAUUAAAACUAUCAGUAUUUUACAGAUGUUUUAAUUAGACAUUGUUAUUAACAGGAACAGUGCAGAAACUAAAAUCAAGCCUUUAAUGUCUUAUAGACCAUGCAUUUUUUAAGUUAGUGUCCACCAGGGUCCUAUUAACUGUACAUUUGCAAGAUUUCAUUAUUUUUGCCUCUGACACUAUGGGAAAAAUCUUUUAGAAGCUAUUGGGACAGAUUCAAGCUUUUAUGUACUUGGUUACUACAGCUGUAAAAUGAAAUCUCGUCUUGUAGCAUGGAUUAUUCUUUUCAUGUUAAACCCACCCAAAUGAAGGGGACUAAGUAGGUAAUGAUUUUCCUAGUGCAUUUGCAUACUGUGAUAAUCCUGGGCCUUUGCAAUUGUUUUACAGGGCUCUUGGGCAUUGAAUUAUUAGAAUGUAAUUGUACAUCAUUGUAGUGUUCACCUUAUUGAAGUGCACACUGAUGUUAAUGAGCUUCGGGUUUUGAUGCUUGUUUAGAGAUCAGCUCGGUCUUGGAUGGGAGGGAGCAAAGCUAAAUAAAUGAUAGUUGGGCGAGCACUUUUCUUGUUUUUGCAAAAGCCCCAACUUAAUACUUAUGUCUAGAAGCAAAAGACAGACAUGGAAUGAC
rnacentral:lncRNA from 1 species